rnacentral:rRNA from 1 species
UACGGGGGGAGCAAGCGUUGUUCGGAUUUACUGGGCGUAAAGGGCGCGUAGGCGGCCACCGCAAGUCGACUGUGAAAUCUCCGGGCUUAACUCGGAAAGGUCAGCCGAUACUGCGGGGCUAGAGUGCAGAAGGGGCAACUGGAAUUCUCGGUGUAGCGGUGAAAUGCGUAGAUAUCGAGAGGAACACCUGCGGCGAAGGCGGGUUGAUGGGCUGACACUGACGCUGAUUGUGCGAAAGCUAGGGGAGCGAACGGG